UCACAGGAAUUCCCCAAAAUUACAGCUCUUCCGCUCUUCAGGAUCUGUCACUGCGCAGCCUUAACCCGGUCAGAAACCACGCCUUUUUUGGGAAAUAGAAAAAUCUAGUUAAUGUCGCUUCUCAUUUUUUUUCUGAAAGAAUCCCCCAAGAAUUGACUUUUACGCAGUGUUCAUACUAAUUAUGGAAGUGGACUUGAGAUUCCGACAUUCAUAGACUUAUUCUGCUCUAGAUGUAUAUCUAGAGGCACAAGCUCUUCUGGCUGUAACACUACAUCCUGCAUACUGCUGUAUGAGAAUCAAAAAGUGUGGUGCUGGAAAAGCACAGCUGGUCAGGCAGCAUCCAAGGAGCAGGAGAGUCGACAUUUCAAGCAUAAGCUCUUCAUCAGGAAUCAGAACUGUUCUAUUAUCCUGAUGCACUUACGUAAGAUAUAGCCCAACCUACUGAGCACUUCCAGCAUUUCUUGUUUAUGUUCCAAAAUGCAAAUACUUUCCUAGCCGUGGUGUAACAUCUUCGGAAUUGACCGUCUCUCAGUCAGAAGCUGAUAUCUGCACAGUUAAAGUAUUGGCAUUUGGAGAAGAAUGAGGGUAUAUAUCACUUGAGGAGAGAUGGUAAAUCUUGUGUUGACAUUUCUUACAGCUGCCACUUGUAAUGGAUGUGUGAUGCUUAAUGCAUGUAGAAUGCAGAGGCUCAAUACAGAUUUCACCAACAAGUAAA